CACACGACAGUUCGUUCGCCGUCCAAGCAUCACCACCACCACACAACCACGGGAUGGAGGAAGCAAGGCAAGGCAGGUAUGGCGGCUAGAGGAGGAAGAUGACGGAUUCAGAUUCAGGAAGAGGAAGCUGACGGCGAGUUGGUGAGGAGGCGACGAGAUUAGGUCUAGAUGGAUGUGACGUUUGCCUCCUCUCUGCAACUUGCAUCUCAAAUCCCAGGAUGAAGAAGAAGAAUCAUGGCUGGAAAAACACGAAGACGAAGGUGGUGGUGCGGCCGGUAGAUGAAGAAGACAACGAAGUGGUGGUGUGUUUAGUUAGUAAUUAGGUUAAAGUCUGGUUUAGUUUUUGGUUUAUUUAGUUUGUUGGUUUAUUAUUUAAUUAGAUUUUUUUUUGUAUUUUUGUAAACAAAUUUCAUUAUAGAUAAAUUUAAGUAAUAAAGAAAAUUUGAUUCUAUGAA